rnacentral:sRNA from 1 species
AUAUUUCUGCUCAUAGGGGGCAGUUAUUCGAUGCACCGAAAGCAGAAGUCUAACGACAAUAAAGCGCUGAGCUAUGCUUAGCGCUUUAAAAAUGAGAGUAAGGUGGUGGACACGCUUUGAUGGAUCCAAAUCAGUAUCUCUGGUGGAAAAAAUCGGUAAAACUUUCCAGAACGAGGUAAUCAAAUACGCAGGUUGACAAGACAAGUUCGUCAUGCAUCACAGGCUGAUGCCUUGGAUCGGCAAUCUAUGGUUUAAAAAACUUAAUCAAUAAAAUGGAUUAAUUUAAUACAAUUUUAGUUCUGAUGGAAAGAAUUGUUCAGAACGGGUGCCGAGGAACGCAGUCAGACUAAUUAACAUGGGAGAAAGUGAGGACCGAGUAACCAUUGGGCAAAUACUUAUGUGAAAUAUGCAAAUAGAUACAUGUAUGCAUACACUAGCGUGUUUUUUUUUUAAUUCCAUGCAUUUUUUUAACAUCACAGAUUGGUAGCAAACCUGGAACAUUAAUUUAUAAAGAAUGAACAUAUUUUGUGUUGUACGUCUAUACUAUUAAAUAAUGUAUGCAUAAAACGGGGAAGUUGAAUGGGGAAGGGCAAUUUUUUUUCUUCAAAACAGUCUUUUAUCUAAAAUUCUUAUUUGGAGCAGUGACAAAAAUUAUAGUGACAUUUGAGCUUACCGACUCACUGGUAUAAAAUUGCGUACAAAUGACUUAUAUGUUACGUAGACAUAUUAUCAUUUGUACGCAACUGACUGAAGAGCCAGGAAUGGCGAAAACGUCUGCAGUCUGAUCAAACUGUGAUUUUAUUCUGGAUAUAUUUUCUCUUAAAUUAUAUGUGUGCAUGUGUAUCUGCGUGCGUGCAUGCGUGUGUUUAGACUUUUUCGUGCAUUGUUCAGAGGACCGUACCGUGCAAUGAAUCUAUGGUUAUUCUAUCAUUGUGUGUCAAAUCCACACCAUCGUUCCUGUUAUUGUGUGCAUUUUGUAGAAUUUACACUUAAGUCUUUAAAAUUGUACAUUAAUGUGCGGAUUUUAUAGAAUAAAACGUAGAUUUGACAGGUUC